rnacentral:rRNA from 1 species
UACGUAGGGGGCAAGCGUUGUCCGGAUUUACUGGGCGUAAAGAGCGCGCAGGCGGUCGAUCAAGUCGGGUGUGAAAGCCCCCGGCUCAACUGGGGAGGGUCACGCGAUACUGAUCGACUCGAAGGCAGGAGAGGGUAGUGGAAUUCCCGGUGUAGUGGUGAAAUGCGUAGAUAUCGGGAGGAACACCAGUGGCGAAGGCGACUACCUGGCCUGUUCUUGACGCUGAGGCGCGAAAGCUAGGGGAGCAAACGGG